CUUAAGAAAAUGGAUUUUACAAUUUUUAUAAAUUGUUUGGUAAGAUGGUGUUUUUUCCCCAGAAUCCUGAGUCGUGUUUAUUCUUUCAUGGGACAUGAUUGUCAGUGGCUGGCCAGAAUUUAUUGCACACCCGCAACGCCCCUCGGUGAUGAGCUGCCUUCUUCAACUCUUGCAGUCCGUGUACUGCUAUACGUUGAUCCAUAGUGUCCUUAAGAAGGGAUUUCUAGGAUUUUGACACAGCGACAGUGAAGGAGCGGUGAUAUAUUUCCAAGUCAGGAUGGCAGCAGCGGUGUACUAUCUACAAGUGACAGUGGAGGAGGUAGUGGAUGUUCAUCUAUGUGAUGUCAAGCAGGUUGCUUUAUUCUGGAUGGUAUCAAGUUUCUUCAGUGUUUUUGAAGCUGUGCUCAUCCAGAUGAAUCAAAUCGGCUGAAGACUAACUUCCAUGGUGCUGGGGACCACCAGUGGAGGCCAAGAUGGAUCAUCCAUGCGGCACCUCUGACUAAAGGUGUUCUUCGACAAAACUCUAUUGGUUCAAUGGCAUAAUUGAGAAUGCAAGAAUAUUCAAUGUUCUAUUUUACAUUUCUACAUGUGGUUGAAUGAACGAAUUGAUGCCAGUGUCAUUUGUGAUGAAGGAACAGGCAAAAAAAACAAGCAAAUUCUCAACUCUGAAAAUAAAAGAUUCUAACCAAUACAAAACUCCCCACCUCUCUUCAUAUGUUCUUCCAAAUUUCAGUUAACAUAAAUCAUUUUAAUGUGUACCUGUCAUCUCACUAAUGCCUCAUUAUUUAGCACAGGGUGAGUCAUUGCUUUGGCUUUAGCAUAUAUUGUUCCACAUUGAGCUAAACACAAUUUAAUACAGAGAUACGUUAUGCCCAAAAGUAGGCCUGGCGUAGACAAACCCCAUACACUUAGUUUGAAUUCCUCAUGCUAGUCAUUAUAGUUGCUGCCAAUAUGCAGAUUUGAGAUGAAAGAGUCCCACUGGACCUAAAUUGAGUAAGAUAACUCACAAACUGGUAUCCAAGAGUGCAUACCAUGGAGGGCCCACCUGCAUCUUGGUUAGAACAGUUAAAUUGC